CGUAACAGGAAACAGCUUGCUGUUUCGCUGACGAGUGACGGACGGGUGAGUAAUGUCUGGGAAACUGCCUGAUGGAGGGGGAUAACUACUGGAAACGGUAGCUAAUACCGCAUAACGUCGCAAGACCAAAGAGGGGGACCUUCGGGCCUCUUGCCAUCGGAUGUGCCCAGAUGGGAUUAGCUUGUUGGUGGGGUAACGGCUCACCAAGGCGACGAUCCCUAGCUGGUCUGAGAGGAUGACCAGCCACACUGGAACUGAGACACGGUCCAGACUCCUACGGGAGGCAGCAGUGGGGAAUAUUGCACAAUGGGCGCAAGCCUGAUGCAGCCAUGCCGCGUGUAUGAAGAAGGCCUUCGGGUUGUAAAGUACUUUCAGCGGGGAGGAAGGGAGUAAAGUUAAUACCUUUGCUCAUUGACGUUACCCGCAGAAGAAGCACCGGCUAACUCCGUGCCAGCAGCCGCGGUAAUACGGAGGGUGCAAGCGUUAACCGGAAUUACUGGGCGUAAAGCGCACGCAGGCGGUUUGUUAAGUCAGAUGUGAAAUCCCCGGGCUCAACCUGGGAACUGCAUCUGAUACUGGCAAGCUUGAGUCUCGUAGAGGGGGGUAGAAUUCCAGGUGUAGCGGUGAAAUGCGUAGAGAUCUGGAGGAAUACCGGUGGCGAAGGCGGCCCCCUGGACGAAGACUGACGCUCAGGUGCGAAAGCGUGGGGAGC
rnacentral:rRNA from 1 species